UACAGAGGGGGCAAGCGUUGUUCGGAAUUACUGGGCGUAAAGGGCGCGUAGGCGGCCCGCUAAGUCGAACGUGAAAUCCCCAGGCUUAACCUGGGAACUGCGUCCGAUACUGGUGGGCUUGAAUCCGGGAGAGGGAUGUGGAAUUCCAGGUGUAGCGGUGAAAUGCGUAGAUAUCGUAAGGAAGACCAGUGGCGAAGGCGGGUCUCUGGACAGUUCCUGACGCUGAGGCACGAAGGCCAGGGGAGCAAACGGG
rnacentral:rRNA from 1 species